UCCCCGAUAGCUCAGUUGGUAGAGCGGUUGACUGUUAAUCAAUUGGUCCCUGGUUCGAGUCCGGGUCGGGGAGCCA
rnacentral:tRNA from 1 species